AGUCCUAUGGCGCAGUGGUAGCGCGCCGUUCUUAUAUUUGUCCUCGCACGAAUAUGACGCAAGUUAUGCGGAUGUCGUGGGUUCGACCCCCACUAGGACUA